CUGCGGGCAGCUUACACAUGCAGUCGAGGGGUAUUGGUUUUCGGACCAAGAGACCGGCGCACGGGUGCGUAACGCGUAUGCAAUCUACCUUUUGCAGAGGGAUAGCCCAGAGAAAUUUGGAUUAAUACCUCAUAGUAUAGCAGUUUCGCAUGAGACCACUAUUAAAGUCACAACGGCAAAAGAUGAGCAUGCGUCCCAUUAGCUAGUUGGUAAGGUAACGGCUUACCAAGGCAACGAUGGGUAGGGGUCCUGAGAGGGAGAUCCCCCACACUGGUACUGAGACACGGACCAGACUCCUACGGGAGGCAGCAGUGAGGAAUAUUGGACAAUGGGCGCAAGCCUGAUCCAGCCAUGCCGCGUGCAGGAUGACGGUCCUAUGGAUUGUAAACUGCUUUUGUACAGGAAGAAACACCUCUACGUGUAGAGAUUUGACGGUACUGUAAGAAUAAGGAUCGGCUAACUCCGUGCCAGCAGCCGCGGUAAUACGGAGGAUCCAAGCGUUAUCCGGAAUCAUUGGGUUUAAAGGGUCCGUAGGCGGUUUAGUAAGUCAGUGGUGAAAGCCCAUCGCUCAACGGUGGAACGGCCAUUGAUACUGCUAGACUUGAAUUAUUAGGAAGUAACUAGAAUAUGUAGUGUAGCGGUGAAAUGCUUAGAGAUUACAUGGAAUACCAAUUGCGAAGGCAGGUUACUACUAAUUGAUUGACGCUGAUGGACGAAAGCGUGGGUAGCGAACAGGAUUAGAUACCCUGGUAGUCCACGCCGUAAACGAUGGAUACUAGCUGUUGGGCGCAAGUUCAGUGGCUAAGCGAAAGUGAUAAGUAUCCCACCUGGGGAGUACGUUCGCAAGAAUGAAACUCAAAGGAAUUGACGGGGGCCCGCACAAGCGGUGGAGCAUGUGGUUUAAUUCGAUGAUACGCGAGGAACCUUACCAAGGCUUAAAUGUAGAUUGACC
rnacentral:rRNA from 1 species